rnacentral:rRNA from 1 species
UCAGGAAANUCUGGAGUAAAGGGCUAUGGCUCAACCAUAGUGUGCUCUGGAAACUGUNUGACUUGAGUGCAGAAGGGGAGAGUGGAAUUCCAUGUGUAGCGGUGAAAUGCGUAGAUAUAUGGAGGAACACCAGUGGCGAAAGCGGCUCUCUGGUCUGUCACUGACGCUGAGGCUCGAAAGCGUGGGUAGCGAACAGGAUUAGAUACCCUGGUAGUNCACGCCGUAAACGAUGAGUGCUAGGUGUUAGGCCCUUUCCGGGGCUUAGUGCCGGAGCUAACGCAAUAAGCACUCCGCCUGGGGAGUACGACCGCAAGGUUGAAACUCAAAGGAAUUGACGGGGGCCCGCACAUGCGGUGGAGCAUGUGGUUUAAUUCGAAGCAACGCGAAGAACCUUACCAGGUCUAGACAUCCCGAUGCUAUUCUUAGAGAUAGGAAGUUACUUCGGUACAUCGGAGACAGGUGGUGCAUGGUUGUCGUCAGCUCGUGUCGUGAGAUGUUGGGUUAAGUCCCGCAACGAGCGCAACCCUUAUUGUUAGUUGCCAUCAUUAAGUUGGGCACUCUAGCGAGACUGCCGGUAAUAAACCGGAGGAAGGUGGGGAUGACGUCAAAUCAUCAUGCCCCUUAUGACCUGGGCUACACACGUGCUACAAUGGUCGGUACAACGAGUUGCGAGCCGGUGACGGUAAGCUAAUCUCUGAAAGCCGAUCUCAGUUCGGAUUGGAGGCUGCAACUCGCCUCCAUGAAGUCGGAAUCGCUAGUAAUCGCGGAUCAGCACGCCGCGGUGAAUACGUUCCCGGGCCUCGUACUCACCGCCCGUCACACCACGAGAGUUUGUAACACCCGAAGUCGGUGAGGUAACCUUUUAGGGNCCAGCC